rnacentral:rRNA from 1 species
CCUACGGGUGGCAGCAGUGAGGAAUAUUGGUCAAUGGACGGAAGUCUGAACCAGCCAUGCCGCGUGCAGGAUGACGGCCCUAUGAGUUGUAAACUGCUUUUGUACGAGAAUAAUAUUUCUUACGUGUAGGGCUUUGCAUGUACCGUACGAAUAAGGAUCGGCUAACUCCGUGCCAGCAGCCGCGGUAAUACGGAGGAUUCGAGCGUUAUCCGGAUUUAUUGGGUUUAAAGGGUGCGUAGGGGGGUUAUCAAGUCAGCGGUAAAAUCGUGGGGCUCAACUCCAGCCAGCCGUUGAAACUGAUGAUCUGGAGUGGGCGAGAAGUAUGCGGAAUGCGUGGUGUAGCGGUGAAAUGCAUAGAUAUCACGCAGAACUCCGAUUGCGAAGGCAGCAUACCGGGGCCCGACUGACGCUGAAGCACGAAAGCGUGGGUAUCGAACAGGAUUAGAUACCCGGGUAGUC